rnacentral:rRNA from 1 species
UACGGGAGGCAGCAGUGGGGAAUUUUGGACAAUGGGCGAAAGCCUGAUCCAGCCAUGCCGCGUGCAGGAUGAAGGCCUUCGGGUUGUAAACUGCUUUUGUACGGAACGAAAAGCCUCUUUCUAAUAAAGAGGGGUCAUGACGGUACCGUAAGAAUAAGCACCGGCUAACUACGUGCCAGCAGCCGCGGUAAU